CCUUCAUUGCCUCAACCUCAGCUCAAAGCUUAUUCAUCAUCCCCUUAUUACAAACAUCAAUCCGACCACCUCCAGAAACUCGCCCGCCCCAUUCCGAUUCUAUCAUGGGUGGCUGUGCGAGCAAACCUAAGGAGUUGGACAGCCACGCCGCCUCUCCUUUAAGCUCUGACAGCCCUCACCCUCUGACAGCCCUCACCCUCAGGCCACUGCUCAGAGCAACACGAAUAGAGGUGUGAGUCAGGUUGAGAAAUCCGAACAGGAGGCGGAAAAGGAGGCUCAAUUAUCGUCGUCCUCUGAGGUUGUUUCUGCCGAGACAGACGUUCCAAAGACCGAGAACCCAACGGAGAACGACGAUGAUAGAGCCACCAAGGGGAAUAAUGAAGAUAAGGUGGAGGAUAUCACAAAAGAACCAGCGAAGGAAGCUGAAGCGGCUGAGCAUAAACCAAAUGAUGUGCCCCCAAGCAAGGAAGAAGCUAAAAGCGACGCCCCUCUCGCCGAUCUUUGAUGACGGAUCAAAAAUCCAAGCCUAGAGGGUUCAUCACGUUGGCAUCAUUUCAG